GAUGAACGCUGGCGGCGUGCCUAACACAUGCAAGUCGAGCGAUUCUCUUCGGAGAAGAGCGGCGGACGGGUGAGUAACGCGUGGGUAACCUGCCCUGUACACACGGAUAACAUACCGAAAGGUAUGCUAAUACGAGAUAAUAUGCUUUUAUCGCAUGGUAGAAGUAUCAAAGCUCUUGCGGUACAGGAUGGACCCGCGUCUGAUUAGCUAGUUGGUAAGGUAACAGCUUACCAAGGCGACGAUCAGUAGCCGACCUGAGAGGGUGAUCGGCCACAUUGGAACUGAGACACGGUCCAAACUCCUACGGGAGGCAGCAGUGGGGAAUAUUGCACAAUGGGCGAAAGCCUGAUGCAGCAACGCCGCGUGAGCGAUGAAGGCCUUCGGGUCGUAAAGCUCUGUCCUCAAGGAAGAUAAUGACGGUACUUGAGGAGGAAGCCCCGGCUAACUACGUGCCAGCCGCCGCGGUAA
rnacentral:rRNA from 1 species